rnacentral:rRNA from 1 species
AUUGAACGCUGGCGGCAUGCCUUACACAUGCAAGUCGAACGGCAGCACGGGGGCAACCCUGGUGGCGAGUGGCGAACGGGUGAGUAAUACAUCGGAACGUACCCGGAAGUGGGGGAUAACGUAGCGAAAGUUACGCUAAUACCGCAUAUUCUGUGAGCAGGAAAGAGGGGGAUCGCAAGACCUCUCGCUUUCGGAGCGGCCGAUGUCGGAUUAGCUAGUUGGUGGGGUAAAAGCCUACCAAGGCGACGAUCCGUAGCUGGUCUUAGAGGAUGAUCAGCCACACUGGGACUGAGACACGGCCCAGACUCCCACGGGAGGCAGCAGUGGGGAAUUUUGGACAAUGGGGGCAACCCUGAUCCAGCCAUGCCGCGUGAGUGAAGAAGGCCUUCGGGUUGUAAAGCUCUUUCGGACAGAAAGAAAUCGCACAGGAUAAUACCUUGUGUGGAUGACGGUACUGUCAUAAGAAGCACCGGCUAACUACGUGCCAGCCGCCGCAGUAACAC